UUUGCUCAUUACAGAGAGCGGUGUAGGGUGGUUGGGUUCACACUGGACAUGGGGACUGAAGUUCGGUUUGGGACUUCUUGUCCAAGAUGUUCACGAACCAAGUAAAUGCAUGUGUCUCCUCUCCUUCCCCAGAGCUUUAAAACGACAGUGAAUUUAUCUUGUUUACGUGUAUAAAUCACAGUGUCCGAGAAGGAGGAAGCAAGCAGAGCAGAGAGGCCCGCCCGGAGUAUCAGAGAGAGGGGCCUGCCCAGACCCCAGACCGAUUACAUUGGAAUCUCUGGGGUCGUGCCCAGGGGACAGUACUUCGGCAAUGACUGAGGGACUUCCUUUCCAGCCGGUCACCACCUGCUGCCACUGAGCCUGGAGGCGUCUGCAGGGCAGCAUGACUUCACCCAGCACCUCACCUUAUGACCGAUACAAGGCCAGGAAGGCUCAAGACACUGCGCUCUAUGUUGAAAGGAAGGUGAGCUACUCUCCAGGAGUGUCCCCACGGCCCUGAGCAGUCUGUCACAGCAAGCCUCGGAAGCAGGCAGCCAUGGAGAAAGCAGAUGCUCAGAGAGGCUCAGCAACUUUCCUUCUUUCCCUCGAUCACAGAUGGAGAAGCAGAGCUGGGAAUAAACCCGGACCUUGUGAUGUGGACACGUGGUCUUUUCCUCUGCACCAUGAUACGUCCUUCGUCAUAACGAUGACCAUGAGUCAUCAAGAAAAGCACCCAUCCAAGUCCCGGGUAGGAUCCCUGCCUCCAGUUCUGAGCCCUGGAAUGUAUCCUGCACUUGCACAGUUCUGACCCAGCCCACAGGAGAAAGUCCUACAUGUCAGGUGCCGGCAGGGCCUCUGUCCGCAAUCCAGCGACCAGCCUGCACGGCUCCGCUCUCGCCCACCGGGCUGCCGCCCGCUCUCUUGCAACGCCAAAGGCUUGCAGCUACCAAGUCUCCAUCAUGUCCGCUGACUCUGCUCUUGUUCUGGCCACCCUUUCUUUGUCCGUUCAUCCGCUUGAUGACUUUCUGCAGACAGCUGAGCUGUGUCCUGGACGCCUCUUCUUGGUGUCCCUGCGGUACGCACCUCCACACCACACGCGUCCUCCCUUACACGGAUCGGUCGGGAGGCUGGUGCUCUGGGGUAACCAAACCCCUCACCUAAAGCAGCCUGAACAGUAGGGGUUUGUUGUGUGUUUACGAGACGUCUGGAAGUCGAUGGUUUCAGAGUUGGCUCGCUGAUGCCAGGUUCUCAGCGAGCAGCUCCACAAUUCUCUCGGCCCUUCCCCGGGUCGGUCGCAGCAUUUCCAAACUCACACGACAACAUCCCAAACCAGGGCAGAUACAUGAGUUUGUUGGGCUCCCAUAAUGCAGUGCCACGGGCUGGGUGUCUUAGACAAUAGGACUUGAUUUUCACACGAUGCUGGAGGCUGGAAGACCAAGAUCAAGGUGUCGUUGGCAGCGCGGGUUUCUCCUGAGGCCUCGCUUUAUGGCUUAGAUGACCUCCUUCUCCCCGCGUCCUCACGUGCUCCCUCCUGGUGUGUCUGCGUCCAGAUUUCUCCUCCUUUAUAUGAGCACCAGUCGUGUUCAUUAGGGUCCACCUUGAUGGCCUCUGUAAAGACCCCAUCUCCAAAUAUACUCACAUUUGGAGGUGCUGGGGGCUGGGACUUCAACAUGCAUUUCAGGGGAGACACGAGUCAGUCCGUAACAGCAAAAGAUGCAGGAAGAGCAGUUCCCCUCUGGCAAUCUCUCUUUUCGUGUGAAAACCCUCUCCCAGAAUCCUUCGGUAGACUUACAGAGCAGGACUUGGUAACACGCCUUUUUCUGGUGACGAGGGAGUCUAGGAAAGCACUUUCACUUAUAUGGUGGGAAGAGGGCGCUACCAGCUGGAAAGAAGGGGUUAGGGAUGAUAACUGGGCAGGCUACCCAAAGAUCUGUUGCACCCCGCUGCAUAUGUGUCGUGGCUUCCCGCUCACAUGUCUGCCUCUACCCUUUGAUUCCCAGCUCUCAGAAGGAGGGACCAGCGUCCCGCUCAUCUGUGCACCCCUAGUGACUAGCGCAGUUCCUGGCUCAGCCAACGUCUAUCAACGGACUGAAAGAACAGACUUCAACCAACUAGAUGAAAUUGUUCAUGUUGUGUGUAGUUAAAAAUUAGACUCUGUUCAUACGUUUGCCUUGCAUGGUCUGUGGUUCACAUCUUUAAAUAAGUGUGGUGAAUGUUGCUAGUGGAACUGUUCUUACAAUCAGACGAGCCCAAGCGCCAUGAGCUCACGGUGCAUGGGGUCCGGGAACUGCCGCGCGAAGCAUUACGGAGUAAAUGACGGGUGAAGGAACCCUUACAAUAUUGUAAAUGCUUUUAAACGUAUCAUUAUAUACACUUAUAAACUUAAGGUGUCAUCAGGUUUUCUAGAAAAAUGUCUUCCAGAACUGGGCAUCCAUUCCGCUCUGUCGGUAUUUGCAAAAGUGGUAGGUAUGUCACCUGUUUCUAGUGGAAUAAGUGGUGCUGCUGAACUUGGCCAAUAGACCCACAAUGCUUCGCGCAAUCCUACCUGAGAAGUGCAGGUAUAGUCCUAAUUCUGAAACUGAGCUGUUUAAACGGUGUUUGGCGUUGGCUCUAUGGGCUGCGAGCCGCGUGGCACAAACACACGCAGAGCUGCCGCAUCGCAGCAUGUAGCCUUUGCUCCAGGAAGCCUCGUGUACCGACCCCCCAUGCCCCAUGGAUCAGGGGAAAACAAAGCGCCCAACGAGCGGCAUCAGCUGUGGGGCUAAGUGACUGAUUUGAUGGUGGUUCCCCAAAUUUUGGCUAUCCCCCAUGCUGGAGAGACUCCUGAUUUUCAUCUAAUCCCUACUUCCCUUUCAAGGUGAGAGGAUUCAGGGAUGUGUGAAUUACAGGCAGUAAAUGAGGAGCAGGGGAGGCACAAAAGUCAAAGUUGCCACAAGUAGCUGGCUUCCCAGAGGCAGUGUGUUUUGGCACCAGGAGACAAAGUCUAAUCAAGAGUUGAGAGUUGCGUCUCUUCUCGCCCUGUUUCAGACCCAAGGGACCCACACCUCCCUCUUACAGUUCAAGUAAUGAGGUUCAAUUAAACCGUUCUGGUUCCAUUAGUGAUUCAGGGUUUCGGGGGCAGUCUCAGGGCAAAAUAUUUCCCACAAGGAACUAAAGAGAAACUAGUGCUGUUCUGGACCAGACUGGCAGGUAGGGACAGGAGAGGACUUGGUGUGCAGCCAGCAUGUGCUUAAGCUGGACAAGAUGCGUGUGUGUGCGUGUGUGUGCACACGUGUGUGUGCGUGUGCGCACAUGCACUUCUGCAGUUGCCUGUUCUGUGCCCCAGGUGCUUUCCUGACAGCCAGGAG